rnacentral:rRNA from 1 species
GGGGCGUGCGGCGGCUACACAUGCAGUAGAGCGGUAGCACAGAGAGCUUGCUCUCGAGUGACGAGCGGCGGACGGGUGAGUAAUGUCUGGGAAACUGCCUGAUGGAGGGGGAUAACUACUGGAAACGGUAGCUAAUACCGCAUAAUGUCGCAAGACCAAAGUGGGGGACCUUCGGGCCUCAUGCCAUCAGAUGUGCCCAGAUGGGAUUAGCUAGUAGGUGGGGUAACGGCUCACCUAGGCGACGAUCCCUAGCUGGUCUGAGAGGCUGACCAGCCACACUGGAACUGAGCCACGCUUAAAAUUUAUGCGGGAGGCGGCAGUGGUGAAUAUUGCGCAAUGGGCGCAAGCCUGAUGCAGCCAUGCCGCGUGUGUGAAGAAGGCCUUCGGGUUGUAAAGCACUUUCAGCGGGGAGGAAGGCGUUAAGGUUAAUAACCUUGGCGAUUGACGUUACAAGAAGAAGAAGCACCGGCUAUCUCCGUGCCAGCAGCCGCGGUAAUACGGAGGGUGCUAGCGUUAAUCUUAAUUACUGGGCGUAAAGCGCACGCAGGCGGUCUGUCAAGUCGAAUGUCAAAUCCCCGGGCUCAACCUGGGAACUGCAUUCGAAACUGGCAGGCUAGAGUCUUGGAGAGGGGGGGUAGAAUUCCAGGUGUAGCGGGGAAUGCGUAGAGAUCUGGAGGAAUACCGGUGGCGAACCCCGCCCCCCUGGACAAAGACUGACGCUCAGGUGCGAGAGCGUGGAGGAGCAAACUAGAAUUAGAUACCCUGGCAGUCCACGCCGUAAACGAUGUCGAUUUGGAGGUUGUGCCCUUGAAGCCGUGCCUUCCGGAGCUAACGCGUUAAAUCGGACGGCCUGGGGGAGUACGGGCAGUAAAGAUUAAAAAUUCAUAGUGAGUUUGACCGCCGGGCCCGCCACAAAGCGGGUGGAUGUUUGUGUGUUUUAAUUUCGAUGGCAAACGCAAAGGAUCUUUUAUCUUGAUCUUAGAAAUUUCCACAGAACUUUUCCAAGAUAUGCUUUGGAUGCCCUUCAGGAAACCGGUUAAGACAGUUGCCUGCUUCCUUGUCUUUCAGUUUCGUGUUGAUGAAUUGUUCGGAUUAAGAUCACGCAACUGACCUCUAUUCCUUUAUUCUUUGUUGGCCCAGCGCAUAGCCAGGAACUCAAGAAAACUCUUGCAAGGGAUAGAGUGGGGAAUAGAGUGUCAUUAGCCCUCAGUCUUACUCGGACCUUUUCAACACCGGUCUUCAUACAC